UGGGGAAUAUUGCACAAUGGAGGGAACUCUGAUGCAGCGACGCCGCGUGAGUGAUGAAGGACUUCGUUUCGUAAAACUCUGUUCUAUGGGAAGAAAAGGACUGUACCAUAGGAGAAAGCUCCGGCUAAAUACGUGCCAGCAGCCGCGGUAAUACGUAUGGAGCGAGCGUUGUCCGGAAUUAUUGGGCGUAAAGGGUGCGCAGGCGGCUUUACAAGUUGGAUGUGAAAUAUUGUGGCUCAACCACAAACGUGCAUCCAAAACUGCAAAGCUUGAGUUAAGGAGAGGUAAGUGGAAUUCCUGGUGUAGCGGUGGAAUGCGUAGAUAUCAGGAGGAAUACCGGUGGCGAAGGCGACUUACUGGACUUAAACUGACGCUAAGGCACGAAAGCGUGGGGAGCAAACAGG
rnacentral:rRNA from 1 species